GAAAUGCGAUAAGUAAUGUGAAUUGCAGAAUUCAGUGAAUCAUCGAAUCUUUGAACGCACAUUGCGCCCGCCAGUAUUCUGGCGGGCAUGCCUGUUCGAGCGUCAUUUCAACCAUCAAGCCCCCGGCUUGUGUUGGGGACCUGCGGCUGCCCGCAGGCCCUGAAAAACAGUGGCGGGCUCGCUGUCACACCGAGCGUAGUAGCAUACAUUCUCGCUCAGGGCGUGCUGCGGGUUCCGGCCGUUAAACGACCUUCAUAACCCAAGGUUGACCUCGGUUCAGGUAGGAAGACCCGCUGAACUUAAGC
rnacentral:misc_RNA from 1 species